rnacentral:rRNA from 1 species
AUUUAUUGGGCGUAAAGAGCUCGUAGGCGGCUCGGUAAGUCGGGUGUGAAAUUUCAGGGGCUCAACCCUGAAAAGCCACCCGAUACUGCUGUGGCUAGAGUCCGGUAGGGGAGUGGGGAAUUCCUGGUGUAGCGGUGGAAUGCGCAGAUAUCAGGAGGAACACCGAUGGCGAAGGCAGAUCUCUGGGCCGUAACUGACGCUGAGGAGCGAAAGCAUGGGGAGCGAACAGGAUUAGAUACCCUGGUAGUCCAUGCCGUAAACGUUGGGAACUAGAUGUAGGGACCAUUCCACGGUUUCUGUGUCGCAGCUAACGCAUUAGGUUCCCCGCCUGGGGAGUACGGCCGCAAGGCUAAAACUCAAAGGAAUUGACGGGGGCCCGCACAAGCGGCGGAGCAUGCGGAUUAAUUCGAUGCAACGCGAAGAACCUUACCAAGGCUUGACAUAUACCGGAAAAGUUCAGAAAUGUUCUCCCCGCAAGGUCGGUAUACAGGUGGUGCAUGGUUGUCGUCAGCUCGUGUCGUGAGAUGUUGGGUUAAGUCCCGCAACGAGCGCAACCCUCGUUCUAUGUUGCCAGCACGUAAUGGUGGGAACUCAUAGGAGACUGCCGGGGUCAACUCGGAGGAAGGUGGGGAUGACGUCAAAUCAUCAUGCCCCUUAUGUCUUGGGCUUCACGCAUGCUACAAUGGCCGAUACAAAGGGCUGCAAUACCGUAAGGUGGAGCGAAUCCCAAAAAGUCGGUCUCAGUUCGGAUUGAGGUCUGCAACUCGACCUCAUGAAGUCGGAGUCGCUAGUAAUCGCAGAUCAG